rnacentral:rRNA from 1 species
GGGUAACGGGGUGUUAGGGCACGACACCGGAGAGGGAGCCUGAGAAACGGCUACCACAUCCAAGGAUGGCAGCAGGCGCGCAAAUUACCCAAUCCCGACACGGGGAGGUAGUGACAAUAAAUAACAAUACGGGGUCCUUUCGGGUUUCGUAAUUGGAAUGAGUACAAUUUAAAUCUCUUAACGAGGAACAAUUGGAGGGCAAGUCUGGUGCCAGCAGACGCGGUAAUUCCAGCUCCAAUAGCGUAUAUUAAAGUUGUUGCAGUUAAAAAGCUCGUAGUUGAAUUUCGGGAUUAGUGCGCCGGUCGUGCCUUCGGUAUGUACUGGUGUUACUGGUUCCUACCUUCUGACGAACCGUCAUGUCAUUAAUUUGGUGUGGCGGGGAAUCAGGACUGUUACUUUGAAAAAAUUAGAGUGUUUAAAGCAGGCUCGCGCUUGAAUACAUUAGCAUGGAAUAAUGAAAUAGGACGUUCGAUCUUAUUUUGUUGGUUUCUAGGAUUGACGUAAUGAUUAAUAGGGAUAGUUGGGGGCAUUAGUAUUCAAUUGUCAGAGGUGAAAUUCUUGGAUUUAUUGAAGACUAACUACUGCGAAAGCAUUUGCCAAGGAUGUUUUCAUUAAUCAAGAACGAAAGUUAGGGGAUCGAAGACGAUCAGAUACC